GACGAACGCUGGCGGCGUGCUUAACACAUGCAAGUCGAACGGAAAGGCGCUGCUCUUGUGGGUGGCUCGGGUGGCGAACGGAAGGGUAACACGAGAGUAACGUAACCUGCACUCUUGUAUAGGUUAACCGAACGAAGGCUUAUCCAGUACAGGAGAUCCUGCGUCAGUGGCGGGAUGGGACAGGUUCGGCGGUUGUGGCUGGACGUGGGGGUUGUGAGCUUGUUGGUGGGGUUGUGGCGGACCAAGGCUUUGACGGGUAGACGGCCUGAGUGGGUGUCGGGCCCGAUUGGGACUGAGAUGCGGCCCAGACUCCUACGGGAGGGAGCAGUGGGGAAUAUUGUACUGUGGGCGCAAGCCGGAUGCAGCAACGCCGCGCGCGGUGUGACGGCCUUCGGGUUGUAAACCGCUUUCGCCUGUGACGAAGCGGGAGUGACGGUAAUGGGUUAAGAAGCACCGGCUAACUACGUG
rnacentral:rRNA from 1 species